GAUGAAGAACGCAGCGAAAUGCGAUAAGUAAUGUGAAUUGCAGAAUUCAGUGAAUCAUCGAAUCUUUGAACGCACAUUGCGCCCCUGGUAUUCCGGGGGGCAUGCCUGUCCGCGCGUCAUUGCUGCCCUCAAGCACGGCUUGUGUGUUGGGCCUCCGUCCUCCUCCCGGGGGACGGGCCCGAAAGGCAGCGGCGGCACCGCGUCCGGUCCUCGAGCGUAUGGGGCUUCGUCACCCGCUCUUGUAGGCCCGGCCGGCGCUUGCCGACAAAUCAAUCUUUUUUCCAGGUUGACCUCGGAUCAGGUAGGGAUACCCGCUGAACUUAAGCAUAUCAAUAAGCGGAGGA
rnacentral:misc_RNA from 1 species